rnacentral:rRNA from 1 species
ACCUUCGUUUCCUCGGCGGGUUCGCCCGCCGAUUGGACAAUUUAAACCAUUUGCAGUUGCAAUCAGCGUCUGAAAAAACUGAAUAGUUACAACUUUCAACAACGGAUCUCUUGGUUCUGGCAUCGAUGAAGAACGCAGCGAAAUGCGAUAAGUAGUGUGAAUUGCAGAAUUCAGUGAAUCAUCGAAUCUUUGAACGCACAUUGCGCCCCUUGGUAUUCCAUGGGGCAUGCCUGUUCGAGCGUCAUUUGUACCUUCAAGCUCUGCUUGGUGUUGGGUGUUUGUCUCGCCUCUGCGUGUAGACUCGCCUCAAAACAAUUGGCAGCCGGCGUAUUGAUUUCGGAGCGCAGUACAUCUCGCGCUUUGCACUCAUAACGACGACGUCCAAAAGUACAUUUUUACACUCUUGACCUCGGAUCAGGUAGGGAUACCC